rnacentral:rRNA from 1 species
CCUACGGGCGGCAGCAGUAGGGAAUAUUGCUCAAUGGGGGAAACCCUGAAGCAGCAACGCCGCGUGGAGGAUGAAGGUUUUCGGAUUGUAAACUCCUUUUGUUAGAGAAGAUAAUGACGGUAUCUAACGAAUAAGCACCGGCUAACUCCGUGCCAGCAGCCGCGGUAAUACGGAGGGUGCCAGCGUUACUCGGAAUCACUGGGCGUAAAGAGGGCGUAGGCGGGAUAGCAAGUCAGUUGUGAAAUCCUAUGGCUUAACCAUAGAACUGCAUUUGAAACUGUUAUUCUAGAGUAUGGGAGAGGUAGGUGGAAUUCUUGGUGUAGGGGUAAAAUCCGUAGAGAUCAAGAGGAAUACUCAUUGCGAAGGCGACCUGCUAGAACAUAACUGACGCUGAUGUGCGAAAGCGUGGGGAGCAAACAGGAUUAGAUACCCGGGUAGUC